GGGGAUUUAGCUCAGUGGUAGAGCGCUUGCCUAGCAAGCACAAGGUCCUGGGUUCGGUCCCCAGCUCA
rfam:Rattus norvegicus chromosome 10, whole genome shotgun sequence.